rnacentral:snoRNA from 1 species
AUAUUCAGAGUAGGGCACGUUCUAAAUACUCUUUAAAUCUUUCCCAUGCUUUUGAAUAGCUUUCGAGGUCCUUUUGUUUAAAAGUAUGGACUUCAUUUCGGAUAU